ACGGAAGGCAGCAGUGGGGAAUAUUGCACAAUGGGGGAAACCCUGAUGCAGCAACGCCGCGUGCGGGAAGACGGUCUUCGGAUUGUAAACCGCUUUUCUUAGUGAAGAAUUUUGACGGUAGCUAAGGAAUAAGCAUCGGCUAACUACGUGCCAGCAGCCGCGGUAAUACGUAGGAUGCAAGCGUUGUCCGGAUUUACUGGGUGUAAAGGGAGCGCAGGCGGGACUGCAAGUUGGAUGUGAAAUGUCGAGGCUUAACCUCGGAACUGCAUCCAAAACUGUAGUUCUUGAGUGGAGUAGAGGCAAGCGGAAUUCCGAGUGUAGCGGUGAAAUGCGUAGAUAUUCGGAGGAACACCAGUGGCGAAGGCGGCUUACUGGACUGUAACUGACACUGAGGAUCGAAAGCGUGGGGAGCAAACAGGAUUAGAUACCCUGGUA
rnacentral:rRNA from 1 species